GAUUGUGCCUUAUAACCUGCCUUUGCCUGGGGGAGUGGUGCCUCGCAUGCUGAUAACAAUUCUGGGCACGGUGAAGCCCAAUGCAAACAGAUUUCCAAAGAGGGAAUGAUGUUGCCUUCCACUUUAACCCACGCUUCAAUGAGAACAACAGGAGAGUCAUUGUUUGCAAUACAAAGCUGGAUAAUAACUGGGGAAGGGAAGAAAGACAGUCGGUUUUCCCAUUUGAAAGUGGGAAACCAUUCAAAAUACAAGUACUGGUUGAACCUGACCACUUCAAGGUUGCAGUGAAUGAUGCUCACUUGUUGCAGUACAAUCAUCGGGUUAAAAAACUCAAUGAAAUCAGCAAACUGGGAAUUUCUGGUGACAUAGACCUCACCAGUGCUUCAUAUACCAUGAUAUAAUCUGAAAGGGGCAGAUUAAAAAAAAAAAAAGAAUCUAAACCUUACAUGUGUAAAGGUUUCAUGUUCACUGUGAGUGAAAAUUUUUACAUUCAUCAAUAUCCCUCUUGUAAGUCAUCUACUUAAUAAAUAUUACAGU
rnacentral:lncRNA from 1 species